ensembl:lncRNA
GUAUGUAUAUUUUUUGGUCUGGUUACUUUUGCUCAUUGUAUAUUUGAGAUUUAUCCAUGGCUAUAUAUGUAUCAGUAGUUCAUCUGCAUUGAUGAGAAGUAUUCUGUUGUUCGGAUAGAACAGUUUGUUUAUCCAUUAUUCUGAUGAUGGACUUUUGCACUGUUUCCUGUUGUAGUCUGUCAUGAAUACAGCUGCUGUACAAAUCUUUGUUUAAACAUAUGUCUUCAUUUCAGGGCCUCGCAGGUGGCGCUAGUGGUAAAGAACCCAACUGCCACUGCAGGAGACACAGACUCAGCGCUCCAGUAUUCUUGCCUGGAGAAUCCCUGUGGACAGAGGAGCGUGGCAGGCUACCAUCCAUAGCGUCACCAAGAGUCAGACAUGACUGAAGUGACUUGGCGCGCACACACGCAUGCACAUGACUUCAUUUCUGAUCAGCAAAUACCCAGGAGUGGGCUUACUCGAUCAUAGCAUAGGUUGAUCCCAGGAGCCAAGGGAGGACUGGAGGCAAUUCUUGGCAGCCGUGGUAGGGGUGACAGUGGCCAGCCUGCCUGGCUGUGAAGUAGUCAGCAAAUCUAUUGCUCCCUGCUUCUUUGCUCCCUGGAGCAUCUUGAAAAACCUCCUUCUCAAGGCUGGGGCCCUCCAUCCUGUCAGUUCUGCUGUUUAUUGACCGCUGACCUCCUCGGAAGCCACGUGUGGAAUGGUGGAGCUACCUUAGGCCUGGACAUCUAUACUGCUGUAUGAAGCAGAGUUCCCCUCCCCGCCGCCCCC